GGAUGGGUGCAGCUCAGUGGUAGAGCGCGUGCUUAGCGUGCACAAAGUCCUGGGUUCAAUCCCCAGUACAUCCA
rfam:Camelus ferus unplaced genomic scaffold scaffold1518, whole genome shotgun sequence.